CACAUCUAAGGGGAUAGAAAGGAGCUCAGCUGAAAGAUUGUUGAUAUUUGAACCCGCCAAACAAACUCCCUUCACUCCCUCAGAAGCUCCGCCCUCCAAAUUCAUGGACUGGCAUUGCAACGGCGACUAUAGGGGAGAGCCCGGACGAAUGAAACACUUUUUAGAUAAACUUCAUUUUAAAAGAUGACGUUACAGACAGAAAUCAUUUUUGUUGUGAUCAGCAACUCCCGUGUGUUUUCUAUCAAUACCAGAAGCUAUUUUGUACAAACGUGGAACGACAUCAGUGGCCCCGUGUCUCCUGAUAAGCUCUAGUGUGAAGAAGACAAACCACAUGACCAAUUUUAUAAAUGAAGGAGAGAAACCGUCACUACCCUCCCCUUCAAAGAGGAAGGAAGAGAGUUUAACUGGACGGACUGAGUGGUGGUGCAAUGGAACAGACAUCUUUUCUGCUCUUGCUGAUCUCUCUGCUGAGCUGCAGGACCAGCGGAGGUGAGUGAACUCUGACAGUCAAAAGCUGUUCGCAUAACGCUUUCUGGUUAAAACUAAUACAAAAUGUGUGUUCUGUAAAGUGUUUGGACACAAACACAAAAAGAGAGAAUGUUUUAAUACUAACUAAACAAAUUACCAAGAUUAUUUACAACCACUACACAAAAACAGACUUGAAGCUACCAAAAAGAAAGAAAGUCUCUAAAAACAAGGACAAGUUGACCAGGAUACAAGUUCAAUCAGA